AUACGGAGGGUGCAAGCGUUACUCGGAAUCACUGGGCGUAAAGCGCGCGCAGGCGGCUAUUUAAGUUGGAUGUGAAAGCCUACGGCUCAACCGUAGAACUGCAUCCAAAACUAUUUAGCUAGAGUGUGGGAGAGGAAGAUGGCAUUAGUUGUGUAGGGGUAAAAUCCGUAGAGAUAACUAGGAAUACCAAAAGCGAAGGCAAUCUUCUGGAACACUACUGACGCUGAGGCGCGAAAGCGUGGGGAGCAAACAGGAUUAGAAACCCUAGUAGUCC
rnacentral:rRNA from 1 species